rnacentral:rRNA from 1 species
AGAGUUUGAUCAUGGCUCAGAACGAACGUUGGCGGCGUGGAUUAGGCAUGCAAGUCGAACGAAUCCCAGCGGGCUUGCUCGCUGGGGAAAGUGGCGAAAGGGGCAGUAAGGCGUGGGUAACCUACCCUGGGGUCCGGCAUAGCCGUCCUAACGGACGGGUAAUUCCGGGCGACGUAACGCGAUCGCCUGACCGUGUUACCAAAGGUUUUCCGCCCCAGGAGGGGCCCACGUGGUAUUAGCUUGUUGGCGGGGUAACGGCCCACCAAGGCCAAGAUGCCUAGCGGGUGUGAGAGCACGACCCGCGCCACUGGCACUGAGACACUGGCCAGACUCCUACGGGAGGCUGCAGUCGAGGAUCUUCGGCAAUGGGCGCAAGCCUGACCGAGCGACGCCGCGUGCGCGAUGAAGGCCUUCGGGUUGUAAAGCGCUGUCGAGGGGGAGGAAAGCCCGCAAGGGUCUGACCUAUCCCUGGAGGAAGCACGGGCUAAGUUCGUGCCAGCAGCCGCGGUAAGACGAACCGUGCGAACGUUGUUCGGAUUCACUGGGCUUAAAGGGCGCGUAGGCGGGUCGUCAAGUCCGGGGUGAAAUCCUCUCGCUCAACGAGAGAACUGCCCCGGAUACUGGGGAUCUCGAGGGAGGUAGGGGCAUGUGGAACUUCCGGUGGAGCGGUGAAAUGCGUAGAUAUCGGAAGGAACGCCGGUGGCGAAAGCGACGUGCUGGACCUCUUCUGACGCUGAGGCGCGAAAGCCAGGGGAGCAAACGGGAUUAGAUACCCCGGUAGUCC